rnacentral:misc_RNA from 1 species
GAAAUGCGAUAAGUAAUGUGAAUUGCAGAAUUCAGUGAAUCAUCGAAUCUUUGAACGCACCUUGCGCUCCUUGGUAUUCCGAGGAGCAUGCCUGUUUGAGUGUCAUUUAUUUCUCAACCCCUCCAGCUUAUUCUGGCUGGCUUGGUGGCUUGGAUGUGGGGGAUUAGUCUUGCGGGCCUCUUCAGAGGUCAGCUCCCCUGAAAUGCAUUAGCGGAACCGUUUGCGGAACUGUCACUGGUGUGAUAAUUAUCUAUACCAAAGACAACUGCUCUCUGGUAGUUCUGCUCCCAAUAGUCCUUUUUCUUGGACAAUUAUAUCUGAAUGCUUGACCUCAAAUCAGGUAGGACUACCCGCUGAACUUAA